GCCCUCUUCAGCCACUCCCUCCCCAACCCACACACCAUCAACCCCCAGACCCUCUCGCUGUGGCUUAGAGGUGUCUCUGACAACGUGGCACACUGGGAAGGCCUUCUUUCCUGCUACCAAUACAAAUGCAUUCUGAAUUUGAUAUUUCAUUAAAUGUAAAAAUACAGCCAAUUUGCAACGAGCAAAUGGAAAUUCCCAGGAGCCAAAAACAGAAAGAAAAAUCAGAGCUACCGCAGUGCUGUCCCUGCAGACAGAAUUUGGGAGAGGUACUCAUAGUCACCUCCUGUGAGCCUAUGCAAGCCAGCUCCUGCACAACCCUGGUUUUACUCCAGGUAAAGGCCCGCCCAGGUGUUUGAAUAUGGACUCCUCACAUACUUCUGCAGACUCCAGCUUUGGGUUGACCCAUCGGGGAAAGGGAGCUUAGCAUGAACCCUUGUAUAAAAAUGAAAAUCUCUUUCAUUGGAAGAGAAGAUCACUGACUGGGCUAGUCUCCCAAGACCUAGGAAAGAGCUUGGCUGUCAGAGGGUGUGCUAGGGAAUGAACUGUGCUUGUUGAUAUCCACAUCCAAGGCUGAUGGCCGGAGGAGGCAGUUAAGAGCAAAAGGCAAUGGACCAAACUACAUCAAAGAUGGGAUUAUAACAAAACUUUAAAAGUUUGUUUACAAUGCAGAAAAUUCAUUCUUCUGGAAACAGACUUGAAAAAAAUAAAAUAUUUACUCUA